rnacentral:rRNA from 1 species
UACAGAGGUCCCAAGCGUUGUUCGGAUUCACUGGGCGUAAAGGGUGUGUAGGCGGUCGUUCAAGUCGCGUGUGAAAGCCCCCGGCUCAACUGGGGAGGGUCACGCGAUACUGAUCGACUCGAAGGCAGGAGAGGGUAGUGGAAUUCCCGGUGUAGUGGUGAAAUGCGUAGAUAUCGGGAGGAACACCAGUGGCGAAGGCGACUACCUGGCCUGUUUCUUGACGCUGAGGCGCGAAAGCUAGGGGAGCAAACGGG